rnacentral:rRNA from 2 species
CGUGCCAGCAGCCGCGGUAAUACGUAGGUGGCAAGCGUUGUCCGGAUUUAUUGGGCGUAAAGCGAGCGCAGGCGGUUUUUUAAGUCUGAUGUGAAAGCCUUCGGCUCAACCGAAGAAGUGCAUCGGAAACUGGGAAACUUGAGUGCAGAAGAGGACAGUGGAACUCCAUGUGUAGCGGUGAAAUGCGUAGAUAUAUGGAAGAACACCAGUGGCGAAGGCGGCUGUCUGGUCUGUAACUGACGCUGAGGCUCGAAAGUAUGGGUAGCAAACAGGAUUAGAUACCCUGGUAGUCCAUACCGUAAACGAUGAAUGCUAAGUGUUGGAGGGUUUCCGCCCUUCAGUGCUGCAGCUAACGCAUUAAGCAUUCCGCCUGGGGAGUACGGCCGCAAGGCUGAAACUCAAAGGAAUUGACGGGGGCCCGCACAAGCGGUGGAGCAUGUGGUUUAAUUCGAAGCUACGCGAAGAACCUUACCAGGUCUUGACAUACUAUGCAAAUCUAAGAGAUUAGACGUUCCCUUCGGGGACAUGGAUACAGGUGGUGCAUGGUUGUCGUCAGCUCGUGUCGUGAGAUGUUGGGUUAAGUCCCGCAACGAGCGCAACCCUUAUUAUCAGUUGCCAGCAUUAAGUUGGGCACUCUGGUGAGACUGCCGGUGACAAACCGGAGGAAGGUGGGGAUGACGUCAAAUCAUCAUGCCCCUUAUGACCUGGGCUACACACGUGCUACAAUGGAUGGUACAACGAGUUGCGAACUCGCGAGAGUAAGCUAAUCUCUUAAAGCCAUUCUCAGUUCGGAUUGUAGGCUGCAACUCGCCUACAUGAAGUCGGAAUCGCUAGUAAUCGCGGAUCAGCAUGCCGCGGUGAAUACGUUCCCGGGCCUUGUACACACCGCCCGUCACACCAUGAGAGUUUGUAACACCCAAAGUCGGUGGGGUAACCUUUUAGGA